GGGCAAAUAGUGUAGUUGGUUAUCGCGCCCGCUUCGCAAUUGUUGCGUAAUCAUCUGAGAUUAUGUAACUCUGGGAAUGCGGGAGGUGCUGGGUUCAAUUCCCAGUUUGUCCA